CCCUUAGAUGUUCUGGGCCGCACACGCGCUACACUGAAGGAGGCAGCGUGUACUCCUGGAUCGAAAGAUUUGGGUAACCCGCGAAUCUCCUUCGUGCUAGGGAUUGAGGUUUGCAAUUAUCCUUCAUGAACGAGGAAUUCCCAGUAAGUGCAAGUCAUAAGCUUGCGCUGACUACGUCCCUGCCCUUUGUACACACCGCCCGUCGCUACUACCGAUUGAAUGGUCCGGUGAAGCCUCCGGAUUGGCGCGCACCUCGGUGCCGCCGAGAAGUUGGCUAAACCUUACCAUUUAGAGGAAGGUGAAGUCGUAACA
rnacentral:rRNA from 1 species